rnacentral:sRNA from 1 species
CUUUCUUUCUCUCUCUAAAACCCUUGCCCUAAAAUUCUCUCUGCCUUCUUUCUAGAUUUUCUCUUCACUGAACCGAUCAAAUUUUGAUUUGAAAGUGUUUCCGCGCUCGCUGCACCAAGGGCUUCAGUUUGAACCGAACGUUUUUCCAUUUCGACCGGUGCUGUCAAACUCGCCUCUGUGAGGAGGUACUGCUAGAGCGUUCCUAGGAGUGGUACUGUUAAGCUUUCCAGGAUCUCUUGGUGAGAUCCUUAGUGUUUUAGAAUGAAAGUAGGAGCUCAGUCUUCGGGGUCAUUUUGAAACUCCAAUGGCUAAUCAUACUCAAGUAGAGGGAUUAAUCCAUGUGGUGAGGAGUAGCAGGAGGUCUUAGUCUUGGGGGCUUCCAGUAUGCUUCAAGGCCCGGAACAGGCUAACCUCGUGAGUGUGGCAGGGUGGGGAACCCAAGUUUCAUAAGUCACCACAAGUGCAGGACCUGCCAUAGCUCGACUAUCAUCUAAAGUCCGGACGAGUCAAGUCUAGAAGAUGACAUGCUAGGAUGUAGGCCUUAAACUGCUUUGAUUUAAGUUAACUCUUGUAUGUUAUGUGCUUGAUAUGAUGCAUGCUUUUAUAUAAUUAGCUCACCCUGGCUUGUUUGUGUGCUUGUUGUAUGUGUUUUCUUUUGCAAUGAUCAUCCACUUGGAUGUGAGCAGAGGAAGAUGAGGUUGCUUUGGAGGCAACAUUGGAGAUAAAUGAAGAUGAUGUUGCAGCUUAGACUCACUAGGAAUUCUUAGUUCUCUUAUGUCAUUUUGAAGAACCUUGUUAUGUUUUAAGUUUCAAAUUCUGGACAUAUUUUGGAAUACUCUAGUGCUUGAAGUUUUAAUUUCUUAGUAAAUUCUGG